CGCCUAGCUUUAGCUUCAAAUCUAGAAUUUUCUGGAGCUACAAAUAGGUAGAUCUAAAGUUUAUGGGUUUUUUUUUGCAGCUAGCUCUACCAAACGGCCCGUAUGAGAUGUGUUUCCAUAUACAAUCUGAUUGGAUUUUUUUGAGAAUCUUGCUCAUUAUUCUUCCUGUUUAAAUCGCUUAAUGAUUUUUAUUAGUUUCUCAAAAUACAUAACCUUUGAAUAGAUGAUGCAUCGCAUGCAAAAUUGUCGAAAUCACCCCCAUACAUCAUACUGUCAAGGUGCGUAUAAUUUGCAUGAACGUGUAGUGCAACAUAUAACUGACGAGGAAAUAAUCAGACAAGUUCAGGCACAACUGCAAAGCGAGGAAUGGAACAACAAGCAUUGAUCAGAACGCAUACGUCAUACUAAAUACAAUAUAAUUAUUUGAAGGAUGAAACAUCCAUUAAAUUUGGGUAGAGAAUAUCUACAGGACGAAACAAACAUUAAACUAGGCUUAACAGGGAUACAGAAACCCUAAACCCUACAAACAGGCGUCCCUUGAGCAUCCUCAGGAGCAUACAAAGGCUCAUAAAGGUCAGGCCCAUAGAUAUGCUGAUAAAGCGCUAACUGCUAAGUACACUAAAUUUCCCUAACUCCACAGCAAAAGUCAGCAAAUUUGCUACUGCUUCACCGGAAACCAGCUUGAACCAGGCAUCACCUUGUCAUCAGAAACCAGGCAGCCCUCUGCUCAGGCUGACAUGAAACCUUUUGACUGGAUCAGCUGUUUUCAGGCGAGCAGCUCAUGCCCUGCUUAUAUUAGUGGGGGCGAUGUUGCCCGGCCAUAAACCACCUCCAAUCGGCUCCCCUCGGAUAGCAAGUACCAACGAACCUUCACGCUGCAUCUCUUGAAUGAGCUGCUCGAGUUUUGGAGUCUGUUCUGCAACGAAACAGAAAAACCUGCCAGGGGGAACCCUGACAAUUGAGUCACUCCGCCCAUGAUUUUUGGGUAUGGUAGCAGCAUUGGUAUCUUUUUCAGUAGCUUCAGCAGGUCCGGUGGCAGCAUUGGUAGCAACUGCAGCAGCUUCAGUUGUUACUGCAGCAGAAUUGGUUGCAACAGCAGUAGGUUCAGCACUGUGCAGAGUGUGACGCAAUGCAUCUCCCAGUUGUCUUUCUUCAGGAGCUUCAGGUUGAAAGUCCGCGCUGGGGGACCAUGGAACACCUCCAGUUGCAGCAGCUUGCUGCAUGCUCUUAGCAGGCGACUUCCAAUGGACUUCUUGCACCUCAUCUUGCUGGUUUGAGGCAUGCUGUUCUUCCUUAUCUUUCUCCUGUGCGCAACACACUGUAUCAUGUACUGGCUCCGCAACUGUAGCACAUUGAACUUGUCUUGGCCUGAAUACACCCCACAGGUAGUGUUUCCUUUGAAAAGCUGCAAAAUUUAACAUGAUGAGUAACCAAACCAAACAGUAGAGAUGCAAGGAAAAGCAAAGUCUAAUGAAUACUUGUUGGGGCUACUCUCAAACUUCAUAUUUGGAACAGCAAAUCAGGCGCAGAAUCAUAUUUUGUCCAUUAAAAGAGAUCCUAUUUGAAGAAAAAAAAAAGAACUACACAUACUCUUAUAUCUUUCAGGCAGUAGAGUAGAAGGAAAUAUCAGCAUCUCAGCUUCACCAAUAACAGUCUGCAAGACCAGAUCACCCUCUAUUACUUCCUUCACUAGUUUAUCCAGGUCUUCAGCAUGCCUAUUGACACACACAAAAAAAAACAAUACUAAGAAAUUUCAUGUAAAAACGAUAGCACAAGUAUUGCAACGCAAUGCAGAGAUAAAGCAAGAUACCUCAUCUUAUUAGGGAAGAAAUACAAGCCAAUGUUGUCACAGGAGGGUUUUGAUGUCUCCCAUAUUUUCAACUUUGAACUGGAAAGCUUGGUCACUUCAACAACCGGCACCAAUGAUCUUGAAAGCUCCCACACUUUGUCACAUGAUUUGGUUGACAAAUGUCCAGCCAACGAUAUGUAUUCCUCUCUGUCUGUCUUAAAGAGUCCACUGUAGAAAUAAUCGACAAAAAUGUUAGCAUAGUAAGAGGAAUUGAAUGCUACUAUAAAAUCAACUACAUAUCUUCUAAAAAUACCUCCAAAUAGGUUCAUCAAUAGGCUUUGAGCAAUAGUUGCAUAGCUGCUUGACAUGUUCCAAAACAAAUGGUGCAGGCACUUCGGCAAGACAAUGUAUCGAAAUAGGAGCUUGUGAUGUCAAUCUCGAACUGUCGCCAUCAGCAUCCAAAGGACUAUGAUCACCACCAUCAACAUGUAAUUCUUCAUCAUCAUUUCUCAUGAUGCCUUGUCUCCAUUUCUUUGACUUUCUAUAAGUUAGUUUCUCCACUUCUAUAGCUUCAUUGCUACAAUCAAGUGGCACAUGAUCUUUUGGCAAUGAUUCUAAAUUUUUCUUAGCAAAGCUAUCCUCGGCAUCACCAUCACCAACUUCAUUUGAUUCUAUACCUCUUUUCUUCUUAUUCUUCGGUGUACGAUCACAAGUCUCCAAUUGUGUACCACCAUCUUCAACCUCCAUGAGUUUCAUAUCACCUUUAUCAAUGGUUUCAUCUUGAUUUGUUUUCGUGUUACCUCUUUGUCUCUUCAUUGAAUCAUAAGAUAGAUUACCUUUGACCCCAAUAGGAUAAGCAUCUCCAUUGAUUUCAACCAUAGGACUUCUACCACUAGUAUCAUCUCUUUUUUCUUCUGUGUUUCUUUGUUUCUUCAUCCGCUUAGGAGAUGCUUCCUUUGUUGCUUUAAUCAUCAAUUUCCUAUCACUAUGCUUACCGACAAUAAAACGUCCUCCACUAUCAAGGCUCACUUGCCUCUUUAAUCUCGAAGGUAAGGCCUCAUUGUAUCGAUCCAAUCCAUCAAAAUUCUUUGCUUUGUGAACUAGUCCUUCCAUUGCCUUAAAUGGAGGUGACUGAGAAUUAUUUAUAUGCUCUGAUCUAUUCAUUAUUGCCUUCGCUUUCAAGGGGUCAUGGUCCUCGCUUCUCAAUACUAAAAUGGAACUGUCUCUUCUAGUAACAUUUCUAUUUGGCAUGAUAGCUUCUACUCGCUUGAUGUUAGUGUUCUUUCUAGGGGACUCUUGCUUGAUUGGUCGUGAGGCGUGAUUGACUUGUCGAUUUGCUUCAACUGGAAUGCUCCUUUUGUUGUCAGUCCUUGACAAUGUUGCCAAACUAGUAUGCAUCGCAAAGGUGUUAUUGUCCUUGAUGUUCUUAUCCUUCAAAGGAUUUUGCCUAUCUUGUUGUGAAGCAAGGUAUGGAACACCAUCAUCUCUUCUAUUGUUUUUGCAAGGAUUCCUUAGCAAAGGAUCCAAACUUACAUUCAUGGUAGAAGACUUCAAAUGUCUAGUGUUACUAUCCUUUAUGGGGGUUUGUCCAACUGACAAUGAGGCAACAUUAUCUCGACGAUUAGCAUCAUUUGCAACAUCAUCUUUGUUGUUAGUUUUACUAGAAGAGUUCAAGUGUCCAGUGUUACUAUCCUUUAUAGGGGUUUGUCCACCUGACAAUGAGGCAACAUUAUCUCGACCAUUAGCAUCAUUUGCAACAUCAGCUCUUUUGUUAGUUUUACUUGUAUUCGUUCCCGACGAAGCGACAUUCGACAAAAAGUUGCUCAUGUGCCUGAUGUUGUUAUCCAUGAUGGGCUUACCACGACGAUUAGCUCCACUUGCAACACCAUGCUCUCUUCUGUUGUUCACAUUUUUUGGAAGAAACCUUGCUUCCUUUCUAACUUGCUUUUCAAUUUUUUUCCCGACCACUGAUCCAAACCUACUUUUGGGUGUCCUUGACAUGAUUGCAAUCCUACAAGAAUUGUUGGUAUGGAAUUGUUAAUUUGGGGAAUGGAUCCAUUACACCCAAUAGUAAACAUUCAAUUCACAAUUCCCAACCCUACUCCCAACCACACAAAGUGUACUGUUGGUAUGGAAUUGUUAAUAUGGUCGUCUUUUCAAUAGACAUCAUUAAAUGGAACUUGAUUAAUAUAGUAGGUUAGCAUGUCACUUUAAUGUCCUUCAACUUCACCUCACCUUCCUCUGUCCACACCAAGGGAUGGCAAAGGGGACCUAACCCCUGUUAGGGAUUUCAUCCAUUAAGGAACGGGGAUGGUAUGUUUUUUACUCCCAUGGGGAUACUAACAGCCAAAUUUCAUCUCCAUCAGGGGAAGUGGGGGAGUAACGAAGCCUGUCCCCAAACUCGAUCCCGUCAAGGUCCCUGUCAUGGUUAUUAUCAAAGCAGUAAGGCCGGACGUGGCAACUGACUACUGCAUUACCCUUAAGCGACUAAGGCGUGAGGCAAGGCGAUGCCUUAACAGCUUAAGGAAAACAUAAAAAAGUAGCUUAGAGAGAGUGAAGAAAAACAAAAAGGAAAAAGAAAAAAGAAAGAAGGAACAAGCAGUAGUUUGGCCUAGCCCACCAGGCAACCCAUAUGCCCCUUGCCUUCCUGCUUCAUCUCUCGAACUCCUAAUCCUCUCUCCAACACCGCCGCACCUCUCGUUCUCCACUACCACUCUGCCUCCGCCCUUCUCUGUCUACUGCUUCCCUCCUCCAGAUGUGCUCCUUUGCUUGCUUGAUAGACGGGGAACCCAUGCCGAUUGGGGGAAGAUGGCCAUGGCCCACACAGGCGGUUGAACAUCUUGACAACAGGUAGGCAAGAAGUUAUCCAUUGGCACUAGUGCUCAUGAGACAUGCAAUAUGGGUAUGACUUCCUUAUGACACAUGCACACAAAUGACUAAUACGAGAAAAAAGAAGAGUUGGCCAACAAAGGCCCACCUCUUCUUUUUGGGUUAAUUUGAACCACGUCAUUACAAAUACCGCGGUUGGGAAAAACCCAUUACUAUUCAUUCAUCUGCUUGUAAAUUUGUCGCAUUCAUAUGAUCAUUGAAUCAUGCCAUUUUCUACAUCCUGAACGUCUUUGGACUCUACAUAUGAUCGUAUUUCGGAUUAUCUGAAGUGCCCCUUUCUUCUUCCUCUGCCUGGGUUGACUGCGGGCUCCUCAUGGUGCCCACCAGUCUUCUCGCCAUUGGCCAACACACGGUUGACCCCUCCCCUCAAUGCUAAAAGAGCAAGUGGCGCCCCAGGCCGAAGUCCGCAAGGUGAGACAAUAGCAACGGUGUGACUGGGUCUCUUGGUGUGGAGAGCAUCAACGCGAGUUGGAGUGGCAGCGCAAAUCCUCAUCGUCUCCACUUCCUAUUUGCUCGAGGCAUCAACUAGUAGCACCAUGGUUCACCGUGAGCAAAUCAAGCAGCAAAUAGCCAAGAGAUUGAGGGACCGAUGGGCAGCGUAGCAUCUAUUGCUGUUCACCAGAGGAGCACCAGACCACGGAGUGGCCCUUCGUCGGUUGUCUGCAUCACGAGUUCCACCAGCCACGUUGGCUUGUGGCUCGUCCGCACGCUGUUGCGUCGAUCAUUGAGGCUACCACGUCCAUGCCACCACCGGGGACACAGGUACGAAGACACACGUAUGGUUGGGUCUGUCCAUUGCUAUCUAUCUAGCUAUCUUAUGCUAGCUAGUGUGGUGUUGAGCUAGGUGCUGACCACAGCCGAGGUGCUAGUGUUGCCGAUGGUGUUGGUGGCAAGCAAGGCCUAGUAGGUGCUCACCGCGGUUGAAGAAAGCAACCAGCUCAUGGUGUUCCGAGUACUAAGGGUAUUUUUGCCCAUACUGAAAUAUAGUUGUCUUCAAGUGGUGGCUUAGUUCACCGACCUUAUGAAUUGUAAUAGCAAAUUUACAAAUAGAUUACUAAUGGUGUUUUUCUAAACCAUGGUAUUUGUAAUGGCAUGGUUCAAAUUUAAAUGGCUGUGCAAAAUUCCAAUUCCAAACUAUCAAACUAUUGUUGCAAACUAUUGAAACACUAUGUCAAAUAAACCAUAAAAUAAUUUAUAUGUUGCUGAUACUUGGUUAAGCAAAUCCUUCCAUUUGAGAUAAUAAAUUGAAGAUUAAAAUAAAAUAACUAAGAUUUGGCCAAUUCGACUUCACAAGAUCUAGCUAAAUUCCUCCAAUCCAAUGAAAACUACAUAUAUGUUCGAUAGUACAGGUCAAAUAUUAAAGAGCAUUUGAACAUAUGGCAAUAACUUUAAGUCUCCUUGGGGAGUUCUUUAAAUAAAAUAUCAUUUUCCCUAAGUUCUUCCAUGAUAAGAAAGUUAAAAAGCAAAGAAGAAACAUUUUAGGUGUCAAGUCCUAAUAAAUAAGUCAAAUCUUAGAGAAGAAAAAAAAAACUUUGGGAGCAUGGGAAAAAUGUUCCAUCCUCAUUGUUAACAGAACGGUUUAUAUUAAACCAUGUCACUUCAACCCUUCAGUGCCAAUCUCAUGCCUCGUAGAGUAUCAUUCGCAAUAUGCUUAUAAAAUCCACUCUCCUAGAGGAAAAAGACUUACUUUUUCUAGUAUACUAAAUUUCCCUAACUCUCCUAGAGGCUGAGUUUCAUGCAAAUUAAGUAUACAAACAAACAAUCACAUUUGUUGGGCCUAAAAAACUUCAUAUACAAUUUAAUAAUUGUUGUUUCACAGAUUUGACAAAUCAAAUGAGAAGUACCAUAUUCACAAGUUACAAGAUAUGACCUCUUUAUUUGACUAACAAAAUAUUCUUUUCGCAUGCAAAUAAUUUAACUACAUGAUGGCACAAAUAAUUUGGCCACAUCUGCAUUUUAGGAAUAUACAGAGGUAGGAUAACAUCAACCAAUAUGUUCCACCAAAAUGAGCGAAAGUUUUAUAACAAAGAGUAUUUGCUUUGUUUGGUAGAGCACUAAAAGGUGCUUCUUUGAGAAAAUGAGAAGUACAAAUGAAGCAAAAACACAGUCAAAAUAAGUUGUUUUGAUCUAGUUUGAAGCUAUGGCCAGUAAAAGCUAUAGAGAAAAUGUGUCCACAUAUUUUGGCCAUAAUCAGUUAUACCAAACAGGCCUAUUGUACCUUCCUCUGUUCCUCAUGAAAGGAAAUGCAUCCAGACCAAACAUGCACACGAUGAUACGAACUCAGACACCAAAAAUGGACCAUGCCGUGGAUCAAGCAAGAGACACACCUUAUACAUUAUUGCACGCUGAGUCUAGUACGCCUUCAUGGCCCGUCGAUAUGAGCAGCAGGGUACAUGUCCAGUCAAGCACAGGCAGCAGUAAAACUCGUGCAGGAAUGAAAGUUCAACUACAAGUGUGUCACCUGGGCUGGCAGGACCAAAAUAAAUCUACUCGCUAAUUGUUUUUAGAUCAAAGGCAUCCAACCGGCUUCAUCAUUAUAAAGCCUAACGGAAGCUAAAGAUCCUCUGCUGGAGAGACCAGCUAACAAAAUUCUGGCGCAAUAUGAGAACCUAGCAAAGUCUGGGGCAUCUACUCGUCCCUCAGCCACCCAGCUAACAAAAGGAACAGAGUUUGGCAAGGCCACUUCACCCAAAUCACUGACAUAAGCAUCUAUGGAGCUUAUUGGUUGCUACUCCUACUCCUUCGCAUCCAAUCUGCGGUGAAACUGCUGAUGCAGGAAGAACUAGAUCGACCAUCACCAAGAAAUCAACAGGCCUGCGACUGCGAUCCAGCAUUCCAGUCCCCAACCAAUCGACUGCUAAAUCGAUCUUUUGUUCUUACGAAGGAUCGACUACUAAAAUCCUUAAACAAGGAUCCCCUGAGCGCAGAGCGCAUGACAGGACACAAAGCACGCAGGAGCAGGGCAAUCAUUCCAUAGAAAAAAAAAAGAGCAGCGCACGCCUAGAACAAUGGUUCGCCCUAGCAAGAUUCACAAGGGGAAAAAAAGAAUCGACGGGAGAGGCCGUUCGUACCUUAGGCUUGUUGUUCCUUUCCAAGAGCAAAGACGAAGCGGCGGCUAGCAGUAGCAGGCCAAAGAAAUGAACCAAUAACCGGUAGAGAGCUCCAUCCCGAUGGCCUUCGCCCUCGAACCCGGAGCCGGCGGCCACCGGCGGCGAGGAUCGAAAGGGAAGGCAGAGUAGGGGGAACUGGGAAGCCAAAACCGCAGUUGGAAACUGGCAAGUGAUGUUCUGGUGGAGUGGAGUGGUGUGGGUGGAGACGCCACGCCGCGAGGGAGGCGAAAUGGAACGACGGCAAAGCAGCAGAAGCGACGCGUCCUGCGAGGAUUGCGCGCACGAUUGUUGCCUUGCUCCGGAUGCGGAACGGGCGUCGGUUUCUGCUCCAAGUCCAGAGCACAGUUUUUCAUGGAGACGGAGGGCAGCGGGACUGUGCAGCCACGUGCGCCACCGCGGUGCAGGGUGGUGUUGCGUGCGUUUAUUGAGACGAGACGAGACGACAGUCGGCGUCCUUUGACGUGAAGGACGAUGGCCCAGGUUUUGUCAGCUGUCACCUACUCCCUGUCUAAAAAUAACUUUCAAAAGAUUAAAUAUAUAUUAAAAAAUAUUAAUAUUUAUCGUACAUAAUUAAUAUUAUAAGUUUAAAUAAAUUUAUUUAGAGAUACAAUUAUUAAAUAUGUUUUCUAUAAAUAUAAUUAAACUUGUGACACGGAAAUCUAAAACGAGAGUUACCCGGAUCGGUCGCCAUGGUAGGUUGUCGAAAAAGAAGACCCUCGAAAAGAAUAAUAAGUUUAACGGAGUUUUGGGAUGGAAGGAAACUGAAAAGUUUUCGGAACUGUAGCACUUUCGUUUGUUUGUGGUAAAUAUUGUCCAAUCAUAGAUUAACUGGAAUCAAAAGAUUCGUCUCGUGAUUUACAGUCAAACUGUGUGAUUAGUUUUUGUUUUUGUCUAUAUUUAAUGUUUCAUGCAUGUGGCGUAAGAUUCGAUGUGACAGAGAAUCUUGAAAACUUUUUGGAUUUCGGAGUGAACUAAACAAGGCCUAAGUAAUCAAUUCAUACUAAAUUAUAAGACAUUUGACUUUUUUAACAACAAAUUUGAUUACCUGUUUUAUUCAAAAAUUUAUCCAAAAUAUCAUUUCUUUUGUCGUGGCUUGGUUAAUUAAUAAAAUUUCUUCAAAAAUAACUUAAAUUUGAUUUUCGCAAAUUUUAAAAUAAGACAAAUGGUCAAACUUGCAGUCAAACGUCUAUAAUUUGAGAUAGAGGGAGUACUUGGCUACAAGACAAGUUAGGACACUUCCAAUGCAAAAACUAUCAUGGUUUCUAUAUACAUUUAUUGUAUUACCACCUAAGCAUUUUGUUAAUGUGGUAAAGUAAUUAUUGAAGAGAGAGAGAGCAAAAAUCAUAGAAACUGAGGUCUAAGUUAGAAACUAUGUCUACACGAGAUCUAAGACAUAAACUGAUAUAAUUGGUUGAGAAUGGAGAGAGAAUGAAUGUGAUUGGAUAAAAAAAUAUUCUGUAGAAACUAUUCAUUGGGACCAUAAUUUCUAUAUAAAAUGUCUAUAAAAAUUAAUAGGUAUAGAAACUACAACAUUGAAACUGCCCUUAGAAAAGCGAAGUCAUACAAUUGUUGUCUCCUAUUUAUUUAUAAAAAAGUUUUUUAUUAUUAUAUGUGACCAUAUUUUCAUUUUCUCUUUCCUGCUUCUCCCCACGUACACCAUUGUUUUGGCCCAUAUAUGCUUAUACUUGUGUGUCUAGCUUAAUGUUGGAAUAAGAGUUAUGAUCUCUUUUCCCUCCUCCACAUCAGUAAAAAUACUGAUUAACUUGACCAUAAAUUCAUUAUUGUACUUGCUCUUAUCAAAACACUUCCUCCGUCUUAAAAACGUUAUUCUAGUUAAAAUACACAAGCGUUAGUCUAAAUUUAUGCUUUUUUCUAAAAUAAAUAUACAUCUCGCUUCUUGCUCAAUUAAAAAUUUUAAGAUUUGACUAAACAUAUUAUGCAAUAAUAUAUUAAUAUUUAUAAUGUAUAAUAAAUGUCAAUAGGUUGCAGAUGGUAUAUUAUAUAUAUAUAUAAUACUAUUCUAGACUGAACUGUUAUACUGAGUAAAAUUCAGUAUCGUUCAGUAUUCAUAUUUCAGUAUUGUUCACUAUUUCAUGGUCCUGGGUGUUGGACGGGAUGAUACUCAAGGUUCUCCAGUAUUGCUCAGUAUUUUUUCUACUCAGUUUUGACUUGCGGUGUAGAAUAAUAUUCUAUACCUAGGGUGUAGAAUAGCGCUACUAUAUACCCUAAGUGUAGAAUAUUAUUCUACACCGCAAGUUAAAAUUGAGUAGAAAAAAUACUGAGCAGUACAGUAUCAUUUCUAACUACACGCAUGACACUGAAAUACUCAAACACAAGUACUGAACAAUACUGAAUUUUGUUCAGUACAACAGUUUGGUGUAGAAUAUUAUUCUACACCUAGGAUGUAGAAUAGCACUUGUGUGUAUAUAUAUAUAAAUUUGUGUGGUUGUGUCAUCCUAGUCCCUAAACUCGCAAAAUGACCGUUUAGAUCUCUAAACUUGUUCAAGUAUGCCAUCCUGGUCUCUAAAGUUGAAAAUCCACAUAUAAGUCCUCAAACUUAUUCAGUUGUGUCAUGUUGAUUUCUAAACUUGGUUUUGAGUCUCAUCUGGGUCAAAAUAGCAUAAAUCUAAAAACUCUAUAUAAAAAAUAAUUUAUAAUUUUUUAUAUGAACUUGAAUAAACACAAACUUUAUAUGAAAAUUAUAGUCAUCAACGUGAUCUACAACUUUAAAGUUGACAAGUUUUUAAAUUGAGACUAUUUAGGGUCCCAAAAUAUUUUUAUAAGUUUAUAGAUUUUAAAAUUUAAAUUUAAAAUUAAGUUAUGUGGAUCUAUUAAGAAUUAUAACUUUCAUAUAGAUCAUGUCAAUAUCUAAGAUUGUUUGAUAAUUCUAAAUUUUAAAUUUUAAAAUCUAUAUCUGUAAAUUUAUAACAAAACUUUUGGACCCUUAUCAGUUUUAAUUCAAAACAUUUCAAUUACAAAGUUGUAGAUCAGGUCGAGGGCUAUAACUUUGAUAUAAAGUUUGUCUUCAUUCGAGUUUAUAUAAAAAAGUUAUUAAUUAUUUUUUGAUAUAUUUUAGAUCUACUACUGUAGGAAAACUUAACCGUGGUAGGCCUUUUGUAUUUACCGCGGUUUUUGCAACUGCCACGAUCAUAAGAUUAUAUUAACCAUGGCGGUUGCCUUAAAAUACAUGCCUUGAUUAAUGUUCGCAAAAAAAAAAUCCAAAAAACUAAAAACUUGCGACUCUAAAGAAUCAAACUUAGAACCCCUCACCCAACACUAAUGCCCUCUACCACUACACCACACAAUCAUUUGUGUGUAUAUAUAUAUUAUGCAAUCUUUUUAUAUCAAUAUUUCGUAAUCUUACAUUGGGUAUUUUGCCUACUAAAUGAACUAAAAUGAAAAAAACUUUUAACUACAAAGUUUUAAAUCUUCUCGAGUACUACAACUUUAAUAUACGAUGUAUCGCCAUUAGAGAUAGUUUAAAAAAGUCAAAAAAUUUGAGCCUUAAAAUAUGUGAAUUUCAAACACUGAAACAGAUAUUUGAGACUCUAGGUGACUUUAAAUAAAAAACUUACCAAUAUCAACCAUGUAGAUCAGGUAAACCACUAGAACUUUGAUAUUAACUAUGUGAACAUUGGAGAUCAUUUAGGAAUUCAAAAUUUUAAAUUUCAAAAUCGAUAACCUUCGAACACAUGUUUGAGACUCUAAACAUAUUCAAAUUAAAAACUUUUUAACUACAAAGUUAUAGAUUCUAUCGAGAACUAUAACUUUUGCGUAGACCAUGUCAACAUCUGAGAUUGUUUGAUAAUUAUAAAUUUUAAAUUUCAAAAUCUGCACACAUAAAAUAAUAUUUUUUUGGACCCUAAACAGUUUCAAUUCAUAAACUUUUCAACUACAAAGUUGUAGAUCACGGCGAGAGCUACAGUUUUAAUAUAAAGUUUGUCUUCAUAAACAAAUUUAUAUGAAAAAGUUAUGAAUUAUUUUUUAUUGUAAUGAUUAACUGUGGCGGGUAUUAUAAGCAACCGCCACGGUUAAUAUCUACAAUGCCUGCUACAGUUAAUUAUUAACAGUGGCGGUUGUCCAGUGAGCUGGCUCGCUUCAGCCGGCCGUGAAUAACUGUAGUGGGCAAAAGUAAUGCUCGCCUCAAAGCCCUUUUGUGAAACGCUACGCAAAAAAAUAAAACGUGUAGUAGUGAUCGCCCUGUUUUGGUUUAGAUGAGACUCAAAAUCAAAUUUAGGGACUGAGAUGACACUAUUGCACAAGUUUAAGGAUGUAAACGGGUAAUUCCUAAGUUUAGCCACUGAGAUGACACAACUAGACAAGUUUAGGAACUGAGAUGACAUAGAUAAACAAGUUUGAGGACCUAAACUAUCAAUUUACGAGUUUAGGGACCAAGAUAACACAACGGUACAUGUUUAGAAACCUGUGGUGAAUUUUAAUCUUUUUAAAAUAUUCCCAGCUAUGGGUAGAUCGUUAGUAUUCGACUACAGGAGAGAGGGAUGCAAGUGGGCAGGAGAGAUGGAGACCAAAAGACGAUAUGCAGACCUGCAGUGCGCGCGUGAAUACAAGAGAGGAAGAGAUAAGGGAAGAUACAGACCCAUACAUAUUUUCCAGGAACGGUUCUAUAUCAAUUGCCUCUAGAUAGAUUGAUUUAUUUGGCCUCGGAUCUUCUAUGUGUAUGUUGCUUGAUUAGCAAACUCAUAAACAUGGAAUUCAAUGAUUAUAGCGUUCAUCUAUACUAGUAGGGAAUAAGGCCACAAAAAUAUAGAUAUAGAUAUAAAUAUAAAUAAAAAAUUAAAGAGGCGAGAAGAUAUAUAAACCAACUGGUGAAUGGGCAUGCACACACAACAACUGAUGUCUUGGUCGAAACCACACCAAAACUACAGUAAAGUAAGAAGUAUUACUAUUACUAAUAGUAGGGAAUGUGAACUAACAGCAAGAAGUUUCAUUUGAAGAUACAUAUGCAGCAGUACAAAACGUGCAAAGGCUACUGUAAUCCAAGUCCAUUUUCUUCUCAACUUCCAUGCAGCUGACCCCACCAAUGAAGCCCAAAUCGGUAUGAUCUCGUACCAGGACAUUGGCAGAUUUCUGUUGAUGCUGACAAGGAACGUUCGCCACCUAGAUGUUUCUAGAGAGCACCUCAUGCCUUGGCCUCUACUUUUGAGUGGCAGUAGCCUUGCUGCCUGUCCAAGAUCCAUCACCAACCAUUUCCCCUUGCAUAGCAAAUAUCAAUGCACCUUCCUGCUGUAUCUCUUGGAUAAUUCGAUCAAGUUUUGGAGUUUUUCGGACAACAAAACCCAUCAGCUUGCAUGGGGUAUGUCCCAUACUAGGGUUAAUCUGUUCAUGGCUUGCUGGUAAUGCAACGGCAUUAGUAGCAACAGGAUUAGCUUUUGGAGUAGCUUCUUCUUGCCCCCAUUCUUCACCAGGAGCUUUAAGAUCAAAGCCCUCGUUGGUUGGCCCUUUGAGAUGGCUAGCUUCAAUUUCUUGAGUACUUUUAUGAAAAGACAACAUAUGUCUUCCCAAAUGUAUGGUGCUCGCCAUCCUAAUCAUUUCUUGAUUUGGUUCUUCACCUGGUAGCAUAUGGCUAACCAUACUAAUCAUCUCUUGAUUUGGUUCUUCACCUGAUAGCAUAUGAUUAGGUUGGUUUGGGACAACAUUUUGCUGCUUUACCAUCUCAUAACGCCUCAUAAAAACACUAAGUCGUUCUUCAACCACAACACCUUUGUCUUUUCUACGCUUGAAUACUCCCCAUAGGUAGUGUUCCCUGAAAUGCUGCAAAACAAGAGAAAUUGAUGUGUCAAUGAACCAAAGAAUGGAACAAGGUAUCAUGCAUAACAACCAACAAGGCUUGCUCAUAGUCACAUCACAUAAAGUAGGGUUAGAGAACAACAACCCGGCCUCUGCCCAGGAACAUCGUCCUUGACAUGAGUAUGCGGGGUUAUCUUGGACUAUGCCUUGUAAAAAACUCUCUCAAGUAAGCAUAUCAUGUUCCUCAACCCUAUCGACCCGGGAUUUUUGUGACUAUGGGAUUAACUUCGAUCGAACAUAAAAGCAAUGUAAGGGAAGAGAACAUUCAAAAAGGGGAACACAUACUCUGGUGAUGAUUGGGUAGUAGAAUAGAAGGGAAUAUCAACAUCUCAGCGUCACCAAUAAUAGCCCGCAAAGCUAAAUCAUUUUGCAUGACUUCUCUAACUAGUUGGUCCAAGCCUUCAUCUCGCCUAAUGAUGGAAAAGAGAAAAUUAUUAGGAUGUUUAAUUAUCAAGGAUGAUAGUGGUGAAAAGUUAUGAAAAGGUUAAGAAACACACCUCAUUUCUUGAGGAAAGAAAUAGAUGCCAAUGUCAUCGGCAGUCGGUUUUGAUACUUCCCAUGCCUUCGGCUGCACCUCCAAUCUCGAAAUCUUUUUCACUUCAACCACUUUAAGCAAUUGUUUGGACAAACUCCAUGCUUUCUCACAUGAUUUGGUCGACAAAUGUCCAUCCAAUGAUAUAUAUUCCUUAUCAUCUGUCUUAAAGAUGCCACUGUUGACAUAAAUAAUGAACACAUUAUUAGAACAUAAAGCACAAUACAAUAAUACUUUGAAGAUUUUAAAAUAUAGAAUCUAUUAUACCUCCAAGUAGGUUUGUCAAUGGGCUUCGAAUGCAUGUUGUUCAAUGCAUGAUGACACUAAGACUUUAGCGUGAUCUUUCUUUAAAAUACUAAUGGUGCCGUCCUCCACACCCGCAUGAUUAAGAUCACCACCAUUAUCUUCUGCUUCAUCUUUCCUUGUUACUCUAGAUUGUUUGAGUUUCUUCAUCUGCUUACAACUCAUAUUAUCCACUUGUACUCCAACAUUACUAUCAUCAUCGAGUGCCUUAGAAUUUUCUGUAGACAAUGGUUCCUUCCUCUUCUUGGAUACAGAAUUGUUAUUAUUGUUUUUUCCAUUGCAAUUAGCAAACCGGCCCAUGCUUCUUUCCAUAAGCCCUCUUUUCUCAACAUUUUCAGAAGUCGAGUUCAUAGAAUGGUUGUCUCUUUGCAAUUUUGGAAAAUCUCUACCAAACGGAUAUGAAGAGAUGCUCCCUGAAUUGCAAUGGAUGUCUGACAAUGUAGAAUCCAGAGUAUGUUUUGCCUUUGUAGUGUAUCCCUCCUUAUAUUCACCAAAUUUCACAUUUUCUUUGUCAUUGUCAAUCACAAUUUCAUCUUGUCUAUUGUUACCUUCAGUCGUGCAACUGUCUUUAGGAACUAUACAUACAUCCUUUGAGAACUCUAAUUUUGUAGUGCUAUGUUUUGCACUAGUAAUGUCUUUAUCAAAACUUGCUUGCUUCUUUAAUCGAGACGAUGAGUCACUAUAUUGACCCAAUCUAUCGGUUGUCUUUGGAACCAACCCUGGCAUAGCCUUCAAUUGAGUUGGUUGUAAAGCAUCAUUCGCCUCUCGUUUCCUUUCUAAGGCAUGUGUUUCCUUCAAGCUAUCUUUUCCAUUGACUCUGGACCUCCAAAUAGCCUUCUGUUUCUCUACCAAAAUCAAGCCUCUUUUGAAGCUUGAGGUAGUGGGCUGAUUCAAACCCUUUGAUGUAGAAAGAUGAUUCGACUUGCUAACACCCUUUACCAUUGAUGAACUAUGCACUAUUUUUGCACUUGGCUGACCAAUGUUGAUAUUCUUUGAAGGAAAUUGUUUGUCUAUUAAUGAACCAAAGUUCACUUUUUGAUUGGCAUUAUUCACAAUAGGACACAUAUUUGCUCGAAAUUUAUGAAACUCCUUCAAAAACUUAAUAUAAAUUUCGGACUUAUUCCUUGUUGAUCCAGUUGCCAUCAGUCUUUUUGGGCCGAAAGAUUCUAUAUGGCUUGGCAUCCCUGUUACCAGCAUAGAAAACAAAGCAAUGACUAUAGUGCUAUAUUUUUUUUAUAUAACAAAAUUGCAAGGCUGACCAAUCCUUUUAAUAUAUAUUGUUUCAACUUAGCACUAAGAAACAAGGGGGCCUCAUAAAAAAACACCGGUAAAUCUUUCUUUUUGUUGAUUUCAUCUAGUAAUAUAAUAAAAUGAUAAACCUCGAGCAUUACAUUGAUAUAUAUAUAUAUAUAUAUAUAUAUAUAUAUAUAUAUAUAUAUAUAUUCUUUUCUCCGUUCUGAAUUCCAAUGUUUUUAAUGAGCUUCACAAAAUUAACAGUUUUCUCACGUAUGUCUCGCGAAAUAAUUAAGCAAAGAUAAAGGUAAUACUAGGUAAAAACAAUCCAUCCCACUUGUUUAACAAGUUUCUAACACUGAGCCCAUCUAAUAUAGAUCUACAGCCAACGUGAAUAUGGAUUCAAACAAGAAUCCUUUUAUAUACGUAACUCUACAACUUAUAUUGUUAUUCAUCAUGCAUGUUUGUGAAAAAGUAAAUUCUAUCUUAUAUACCCACACAGUACAUGUGAAAACAAUGUAGAAGAGCUAACUCAAACCAAUGACCAAUGAACAGAAAUUAACAUUAGCUAGGCAGACAGGUGUGCACGCAUACCUGAAGCUCUUCGCGUAGACAGAUUGAACAAGAAGAGAGGCGUAGACAGAUUGAACAAGAAGAGAGGCACGGACGCCCGGCUGCCGACGACUCGGCGAAAUCAAAGGGUGCGUCGGAAAACAGGGAGAGGCUCUCAGAGCAGAACACACAAGCGCAGGCUUCCGGCCGUGCCCUGGACUUCAUUAUAUAGGCGCUUGGAGGCGGUUUGGGUAUGAGGAACCGCCGAUUCGUGCGGAGUAUGGAAUUUGGAAGCGCGGAUAUCACGGAAACUGACCGAUUGAGGAUUUUUUUUUUUUGGCCGUCUGGAUUCUGAGCAGAUUCGGUUCGGGAUUCACAUCCGCCGACGUUGUAUAUUCCUUUUCUUUUCUUUCUUUCUUUUGAUUUUGAUUCUUUUCUUUCUUUCUUUUGAUUUUGAGAAGCACCUCUUUCCUUUUGUUUUUCCUUAUACGUGACGCGCACGCGCUGAAAUAUUUGUUUUGAGAAUUUUGUUUCCACGUAUACUAACUGAAAAUGCACCCGGUACAAACCUAACAAAGAUCCUGCAUGCGUUUCAGUAUUAUUUAGAUUUUAUUUAUUUACUUAUUUUUGCGAGGAAGGUUUAUCGCCAUGCUACACGACAAAGACUUCUGGAAAGGAACAAUUUCCCCAAUGUGUAGCACACAAGAAAUAGAACUCCAUAGUCCAUUCGACCUCAAGCAGAUGGCAAACGGCUGGAGUCAGCAGCGUCAUAGAUUUAAAUGGAAAAUAAGACAUAUCAAGACACCAGGUAUCAAAUCUUGAUCAGGAACUUACUAAACAACAGUGAAUAUGCGCACAGUAACUUCAGGUAGCAUUCAGUAUUCCACACUCCACGAGGAAAUAAUUCAGGCAAAGUUCAGGCACAAUUGCAAAGCGAGGAAUGAAACGACAAGCAUUCAUCAGAAUGCAGGAGCACCCGUACGCCAUACUAGAUAAAAUUACUUGAGGAUGAAACAUCCAUUGACUUAGGGUAGAAAAUAUUUACAGGACGAAGCAUGCAUUAAACUAGGCUACUAGCAGGAAUACAGAAACCCUACAAACAGGCGUCCCUUAGGCAUCCACAUGAGCAUACAAAGGCUGAUAAAGGGCAGGCAUAUAGAUAGCUGAUAGAGGGCUAAAGUACACUAAGUUUCCCUAACUCCACAGCAAAAGUCAUCACAUUUCCUAGUGCUUCACCGGAAACCAGCAACAGAAACUAGGCAGCCCUCUCUCAGGCUGACAUGAAACCUUUUGGCUGGUCAGCUGUUUCCGGGCGAGCAGCUCAUGGCCUGCUUAUAUUAGUGGAGGCGAUGUUGCUGGGCCAUAGACCACCACCAAUCUCCUCCCCUCGGAUAGCAACUACUAACGAACCUUCACGCUGCAUCUCUUGAAUGAGCUGCUCGAGUUUUGGAGUCUGUCCUGCAACGAAACAGAAAAACCUGCCAGGGGGAUCCCCGACCAUUGAGCUGCUCCGCCCCUGAUUUCCAGGUAUGGUAGCAGCAUUGGUAUCAUUUUCAGUAGCUUCAGCAGGUAUGGUGGCAGCAUUUGUAUCAUUUUCAGUAGCUUCAGCAGGUAUGGUGGCAGCAUUGGUAGGAAGAGCAGCAGCUUCAGUUGUUAUGGUGGGAGG
rnacentral:lncRNA from 1 species